ensembl:snoRNA
AGCCGGUGAUGACAGAUAAAAACUUUCUGACACCUCGUAUGAGAGCUGCACUCCAGCUCCUGAUUCUAUUUCUGAUCUGAGGCUC